UACGUAGGGUGCGAGCGUUGUCCGGAAUUAUUGGGCGUAAAGGGCUCGUAGGCGGUUCGUCACGUCGGGAGUGAAAACUCGGGGCUUAACCCCGAGCCUGCUUCCGAUACGGGCAGACUAGAGGUAGGCAGGGGAGAGCGGAACUCCUGGUGUAGCGGUGGAAUGCGCAGAUAUCAGGAAGAACACCGGUGGCGAAGGCGGCUCUCUGGGCCUUACCUGACGCUGAGGAACGAAAGCGUGGGGAGCGAACAGG
rnacentral:rRNA from 1 species